GACGGAGGGGGCAAGCGUUGUCCGGACUCACUGGGCGUAAAGCGCACGUAGGCGGUUGGGUGCGUCGCUGCUGAAAGCGCCAGGCUUAACCUGGCGAGGCGUGGCGAUACGACCCGACUAGAGGCAGGCAGAGGGUGGCGGAAUUCCGGGUGUAGUGGUGAAAUGCGUAGAGAUCCGGAGGAACGCCUGUGGCGCAAGCGGCCACCUGGGCCUGUCCUGACGCUGAGGUGCGAAAGCGUGGGGAGCGAACCGG
rnacentral:rRNA from 1 species